rnacentral:rRNA from 1 species
ACUCCAUCCAAGGCUAAAUAUCAACACGAGUCCGAUAGCGAACAAGUACCGUGAGGGAAAGUUGAAAAGUACUUUGAAGAGAGAGUAAACAGUACGUGAAACCGCUCAGAGGUAAACGGGUGGAGUUGAACUGCAAGCACUGAGAAUUAUCGGCGGUGAGUGUGGUUUUUGCUUGGUUUCGGUUGAGCUCGGAAGUCCGUGUUGUAGCGGGCCAUUGCCUUCUGGUGGUGGUGCGUAUACGCUUAUCAGGUGUUGCGCGCUUCCGAUGCCUCGGAUCAGCUUGCCGUUGAACUUCUUAGUGUGAUCACCACGACCGACACCGCUGCCCGGCUGCUAUGGUCAAACCAGUCGCGUGUUGCUCUUUGUAGCUUAACGCGGUUGGGAUGGCAGGUGGCUCGUUAUUUUAGCGCGUGUGGCUUGCCACGCGUGUUGAGUUUCGGGUGUUACAAGCCGAUCGUAGUGGUUCUGUGCGGUGUGUCGGAGACAGCGGCUUGUGUGCUUGCGCGUGCCAGUUCGGUCGGCGGAUUCGGGUGUGGUUGUUGUGUUGCCUGUUCAACCAGGCCCAGCAAUGGCUCGGAAUCGUUCGGCUGGCGGUUGCGCGUGCGACAUU